UACGAAGGUUGCAAGCGUUACUCGGAAUUACUAGGCGUAAAGGGCAGGUAGGUGGUUUGGUAAGUCUAUUGUGAAAGCUCCCGGCUUAACUGGGAGAGGUCAAUGGAUACUGCCAAGCUUGAGUAUAGGAGAGGUUACUGGAAUUCCCGGUGUAGCGGUGAAAUGCGCAGAUAUCGGGAGGAACACCAAUGGCGAAAGCAGGUAACUGGACUAUUACUGACACUCAACUGCGAAAGCUAGGGGAGCAAACAGG
rnacentral:rRNA from 1 species